UACGUAGGGGGCGAGCGUUGUCCGGAGUUACUGGGCGUAAAGCGCACGCAGGCGGUCUGCUAAGUUUGGAGUGACAGUUGGUGGCUUAACUGCCAAAGUGCUUCGAAAACUGACAGACUUGAGGGCUUCAGAGGGACACGGAAUUCCGGGUGGAGUGGUGAAAUGCGUAGAGAUCCGGAGGAACACCAAAGGCGAAGGCAGUGUCCUGGGGAGUACCUGACGCUCAGGUGCGAAAGCGCGGGGAGCGAACAGG
rnacentral:rRNA from 1 species